UACGUAGGUCCCGAGCGUUGUCCGGAUUUAUUGGGCGUAAAGCGAGCGCAGGUGGUUUAUUAAGUCUGGUGUAAAAGGCAGUGGCUCAACCAUUGUAUGCAUUGGAAACUGGUAGACUUGAGUGUAGGAGAGGAGAGUGGAAUUCCAUGUGUAGCGGUGAAAUGCGUAGAUAUAUGGAGGAACACCGGUGGCGAAAGCGGCUCUCUGGCCUGUAACUGACACUGAGGCUCGAAAGCGUGGGUAGCAAACAGG
rnacentral:rRNA from 1 species